CAGCGGCGCACCGACGGGCCGCCGGUGGUUCCGCUCAGACCCAAACCCGGAGCCACUUUUACGCACGUUUUGCAAAACCUUAAGAUUAGAAAUAGGCUUCAUAAAGGGGGUGGAAAAGGCGUAAAAAUGGUGCUUUUGUCUCAUGGUGACCUUUUUUUUUUUUACUCCCAGUGACAUGAAACAGCUGCAAAACAACAGCAUGUCCAGUUUGGAGAAGCCUGUCCUUGUUUUUUUUACAUCUCCAAUCAUGUUUCAUUGGGUCUUGUGGUGUUUUUUUUCCUUUUUUUAAAAAGUCAAAUUAUAGGCAACGGAGGCUCCUGCUUCCACCUUCAAAGUGGGAGAUUCUCCACCUGACGUCAAUGCCUGGUGACUGACGCAGCCCGCAGGAGAAGGAAGUGGGUUUUAUUUUUCCAUUUGUGUUUUUUUAUUUUUAUUUUUUUUUAUUUGGCGUUUGGAGGAAAAAAAAGCAUCCAGGGCGCGUAAAAAUACCAUCAUGUGCCAAUGAGGUGUAGAAUUAUACUCCAGUGUGAGCGUUUUUAAGACAUUUACAUUCUGAUAAGGGGUGGGGGGGUGGAAGGGGGCGCGUAAAUGUGUGCGUGUGAGCGCUCAGCAGCAGCAAAUCAUGAAUUAAUAAAAAGCCCAAUUCUGCACACUUUCAUCGCUCCGUUUAAAUACAAUCUGUGCACUUUUUAAAAUUCUUCUUCUUUCCACAGCAUCCUUAUUUUAUUUUUUUAAGAAAGGGGGAGAUGCUGUCGUGCACGCGCAUGGGAGAAAGAGAGCAAGAGAGAGGGAGGCAAGAGAGGGAGGAAGGGGAGAGGCGGGAGCCGGGUCUCAAACGCCGCACGCUCGAAAUUCCUCCAAGGAACCUCUGCGAGCUUUUCUUUUUUCAUCACGCGCGGCGGCUAAAAAUAGAAACGGGGUUGGAUCGUGAUCCAGAAAUAGAUAGGGGGCAUCACUCCUAUAAAAGGCACACCAUUCAAGAGUACAGUGAAGAAAAGCGGCAAGCAGGAGCAGAUUUUAUACGAGAAAGAGCCUCUUUUUUUCUGCCACUUUACGUGUUUUUUGCUGUUUUGUUUUUUGUUUUUUUAAGAAAAGGAGGUUCCGCUGCUACAAACGGUUUCUACGUCACAAACUGAGAGACGCAGCCGUGACGACGACACGACGAGGUCAGCAGGCGGAAGUCACUGAGUGAGUGGACAAACCUAUAAAAAGAAAAAUAAAUGUGGUUUUACGUCAUAUUUAAUAACAACAGCUGCUGACGUGUACAUUCAGUGUGGACAAACUCACGUCUCACGUCUCAUCCUGAGGUUUUUGUUGUAUUUAAACUCUUAUUUCCCUCAUCUUUCUUUCUCUUUUUAUUAUUCUCAAUCACAGCAUGCUAUUAUAAUGCCAAAACAAGCUGAAUUCAUUUUAUUUACUCUCUUUCCAAGCUGUUUAUGAGCCCAAAUCACUGCAGCUGAGUCAGGCUCAGCACUGAAACAAUAAAAAGUGUCACAACACGACGUCAUAUCAAACAUUCAUACCACACAUGUGAACAUCAGCUGCUAACUUCCACACAUCUGUCCCCAGAUUGUUGCACAGACUUGGAGAUUCUUUGCAAAACCUGUGGUGAUAAAUUAUGGCUUCUUUUGAAAUGUGACUGACUGAAACCUGCUUUUAUCUUAAACGUUAUGUUGGUGCUGAGGUCUGGAAGCCACCUUUCACUCUGGUCCAGCAGCUCUGAGACGUUUUAAACCUCCUUCUUCUUGUAGUAGUCGUUUUACCUGCUUAAAGGAGAUGUAAAAUCAUGUUUCUGUAGUUCUCUGCUUUAUGAUUUGUGCAAAUAGUGACAAAAGCAUAGUAAAGAGACGGAAAUAGUGAAAAGAUGAACUGAAAAACAGCCAGAUUUAAAACAUCUUAAAGGAAAAUGUGUGUAGAUUCAAGGAGCAAAGAUGUUGCGUGUCAUUGUUGUCAUUAUGUUCAUCCUUGUAUUGCAAAUCAAAGCGUGAUUUGUUUGGACAAAGACAAAGAAAUUACGCAGAAAUAAUACUUCUAAAUAUGCUGAGGCAUUUCUCCAACAAUAGUUUCACUGUUUAGUUGCGGCACUGACGUGUUUAAAUCUUUAUUUUAAGACACAGAGAGCAGGUUUUGUAGCUGAAGUCAGUGUGCGUCUGCGUUAGUUUUGCAGACGUGUGUGCAUCAAGACGAUAUGAUUCUUUAUUUUUAUCGUUUGCAAUCUGCAGUCUAAAUGUGCACACGUGUCAUGAGUGUGUGUUUAUUUGCUGAGAUCCUAAAAUCUCACCAAGCACCAGAAAGCUACAGGUUCAGCUCCUGCGUUUGCAUCAGGGAGAAAUGUUGUACGUAAAAUAAUCAACUAAUAGAAGCAGCCGAACACACGCUGCAUGUUUCUUUUCCAGGAAAAAGAGAGAAACUAUCGUGAUGAUCAGUGAUCUCUGGAGUGAAGCUGAAGGUUGAAUGAAUGAAUGAAUGAAUGAAUCUUGAACUGGAGUAAAUCAGACACACGUCGACUUCUAAAGUCUUCCAAAAGCAGAUUUAUUAAAAUAUAAAACUCCUCUUGAUGAGUCAUUUAGCUCAACUUUCAAUUUGCUGCUGAAUUUGUGAUUUUUUUUCUCUCGGUUGUGUGCACAGUCACUCUGUGUCUUUAUUAUUGUCAUGGGAUGCAGAUGUGUGUGUUGCAUUUCCUUUUAUAGUUUUAUUGCCUUUUUUCAUUUCUGCUCUCUCAUCUAUCAGUUUCUUACAAUUAUUUUCACUUAAUUUCACAUUUUGUCUCACUUUUGUCUCAUUUUAUGCCUCAGAUUUGUUAAAUGUUUCAUAAAAUCUCAGUCUUAAUCCUAAUUUCACCUCAUUUCCUCAGAUUAUGAAUAUCAGGUUUAUCUUCUGCUGUUUUCUUUCUAAAGGUGCGGCGUGAUUUAAUAUUAAUGAUGCUUUUGCUCUGAUCUAAUAAAAGCCCUGUGAAAUCUUAUAUCGUGUGUCCUCUUUGUGUGUAAUUUUUAAAGAACUGCUUCUCAGCUCUGUGAUGGUUUUGCUGUAAAAUAACGCGUGGAAAUAAAUAUUAAUAAAAGCCUGCAAAGAUGA